CGAAUGUGGCGAACCGACGGUGCCCCGGCGCCCCCAAGGGGUCGGGGAUAAUAGGGAAUGCGGUUCGGAUUCCGUCUUGGGAUCCCAAGCCGCGGCUGCCCCCGCAACUGUGUGCGGCGAGUUCCACUUCGAGAAAGCCACUGUCCCUCGGGCCGGGAAGGCGGAAGACGGAACGACGACCCGCGAGCCAGGAAACCUGCCGCCGGAUCAUGAACACC
rnacentral:ncRNA from 1 species